rnacentral:rRNA from 1 species
AUUGAACGCUGGCGGCAGGCCUAACACAUGCAAGUCGAACGAGUGGCGGACGGGUGAGUAAUGACUGGGAAACUGCCUGAUGGAGGGGGAUAACUACUGGAAACGGUAGCUAAUACCGCAUACCAUCGGAUGUGCCCAGAUGGGAUUAACUAGUAGGUGGGGGAACGGGUCACCUAGGCGACGAGCCCUAGCUGGUCUGCGAGGAUGACCAGCCACACUGUAACUGAGACACCGUCCAGACGCCUACGGUAGGCAGCAGUAGGGAAUGUUGCACAAUGGUCGCAAGUCUGAUGCAGCCAUGCCGCGUGUAUGAAGAAGGCCUUCGGGUUGUAAAGUACUUUCAGCGGGGAGGCGUUACCCGCAGAAGAAGCAACGGCUAACUCCGUGCCAGCAGCCGCGGUAAUAC